AGCAGAGAUCUCAUCUUCUCCAGGCUGUGCGCGGCGCGUCAAUCUGAACGGAGGCGGGGUGAAGUUACGAGGUCUCGCUGAGAGCUCGAUGAUCCAAUGGCGUUACGAAGUUUUACUGACAAGUUAUUUUAAUGCUUAUCAUUGGUCUACUAUUUUUAAAACUCUCUGAUUUAAAAUAAUAAAAACGAAUUAUAAUCGACUCAAGUUUGGAUAAUUUUUCACAGCACCUGACUGGGCUAGGGUAUGGCAACUGCCAUACUCUGCCAUACGCAAACGCCGCCCCUGCUUGCUGCAAUGCCUGUAAAGUUAGCUUGAUGUUUGAUCACAGUAAUAGGGACCAUUGGGAAUGGCAUGCAAGCUGUUGUCAGGAAUGUUUUCAGUUGUGGAAUUCACCUCAGAUCACAGUGUAGCUGUAAUUCCUGAUGCAUGGAAAGAAAAAUUAGACCAGGACAUCUAUUGCUACUGGCCACCCAACAAUGUCCAAAGUCUAUUAAAAAAAAGGACUUUGCCUGAUAAAAUAAAGUGGAACAGACUACAAGUCCACAGAGUUUUUAAAUCCUCAGUUGACUACAUGACAGCCCAUAAGCUCAUGAGAAAAGCUCAAAUCACCUCGUGUCCUGAACUCUCAGACUCCUCCAUCACUGAGAAAAGGCUAACCAGGCUGAAGAGACCACCUUUACGCCUUUUAGAGUCAGAUAGUGAUAUCACAGAUAUUGAAGACAGUAAUAUCAACACCAGGCCACCAGCAAAAAUACCAACCCUUCCCUCUCCACCGAGAACAAUGGAACCAAGAAGGAACUCAUCCGAAACACCUGAGCCAUCACAGACAUGUGGGGGUCUUGACAGCUUGCCAAGAGCUGGAUUUUGUGGGGGCUACAGAGCAACUAUCAAUGCCGAUAGCACCCAUUCAAUGAGGCCACAACAUUUAGAUUUCUGCAAUACACCAAACUGGGAUGUCCAAAGUGAAGGACACAGGGUUAUGGCACAUCAAUUUGAAGAGAUGCCAGGGGGCUACAGAUCAGCUGUACAUAUGGAUAGCACUCAGUCAAUGAUGACACAACAUUUAGCACCAAGAAUGCAAGAAUGGAGUCAUGAACAUAAUUCAAAUGUGGAUCAACACCAACAUAAAUCAGCCUGGACAGCCAGUGGCAAUGGAAGCUGGACAGAUACUCAAAGACAAAAUUAUGACUUCAAUUCAAAUGGGCAAAAUUGUACAUCAAAUAACAGGGCAAUAAUGAAAUCACAACCUGGGUCUACUAGCAUGGAUGCUGAAAGCCAGAUUGCAGAGACCCUUAAACAUGCACCAGGUCUGGUUAGGAGAAAGGCUAAUCGAUCAGUUACUCCACAUUUACAAGAUGGCUCAUUGGACCUCUUCUCAUAAUUUUAAGUGUUAUCACUGUAGCUCCUGCUUUUUACACUACUUUACUGUAGUGUGGCAUUAUGGGAUUGCGCGCGCAUCGUUCAAAUCUGAAAUCCAGCCGACUGGAGCAGAGCCAGAACGAUCGAAGAUUAGAGGCUUUAUUCAUAAUUCCUGGUGCAAAGAAUAGCAGCUGAUGUGGAGAAAUGUUUGAUGCUUCAAGACUCUCUGAAGCUGAUUAUAUUAGGUGCACCCAGUGGCUUUUGACUAGGCCUAUUCGAGGGUCACAUGGUUGUGAAUUCAUACCUCAACUUUGCGGCUGGAUUUUCAGUCUUAUUACAACUUCAGCCUGGCGUCCCGAGAGCAGAGCUUUUGCACACUUGAAUUAAUUUCAAAGAUGUUUUGUAGGAAUCAAAACACUCACUGGAUACAAGACGGAUAUACAGAGGCAAAACAAGUGGAAAGGUCUCAGAGAAGAGGGACAACCCUCAUUUGUGUGCUUAUCUCAGAAAGUUGAUGGACUUUCAUUUUACCUGUGCCUGCCACCCACCAUUCUCUGUCUGCAUGGUUUUGACUUGUGCCUGGCGACUGGUUUCUGCGCUUGCCCUUUCCCACUGGAUUUGUUUAUCUUUAUUGGACUGUCUACUGACCUUCUCGUCUGCUCUCCCCUGUCCGCUGUGUUCUCCAGUCCCGAGUCGGCCUCAUCAGCUGGUGACCUGAUGACUGUUUCAGCUGCUUUUCUUUUGUUCAACAAAUGUUGUCAAAUGCUCUCAAAUUUGUAGUCUGUUAUAUUUGAGCUUAAUAUAAUUAAUAUACUCUAUAUUAAUGGGCUUUUUUUCUUCAAAUGUAUGUUUUGGUAGUGUAAUUAUAUGUAUGCAAUGUUUUAAUAAAGUUUGAUUAUAUGAA